rnacentral:rRNA from 1 species
CCUCCAAGGCUAAAUACUCCUGACUGACCGAUAGUGAACCAGUACCGUGAGGGAAAGGCGAAAAGAACCCCGGCGAGGGGAGUGAAAAAGAACCUGAAACCGUGUACGUACAAGCAGUGGGAGCACAGGUUUACCUGUGUGACUGCGUACCUUUUGUAUAAUGGGUCAGCGACUUAUAUUCUGUAGCAAGGUUAACCGUAUAGGGGAGCCGGAGGGAAACCGAGUCUUAACCGGGCGUUAAGUUGCAGGGUAUAGACCCGAAACCCGGUGAUCUAGCCAUGGGCAGGUUGAAGGUUGGGUAACACUAACUGGAGGACCGAACCGACUAAUGUUGAAAAAUUAGCGGAUGACCUGUGGCUGGGGGUGAAAGGCCAAUCAAACCGGGAGAUAGCUGGUUCUCCCCGAAAGCUAUUUAGGUAGCGCCUCGUGAAUUCAUCUCCGGGGGUAGAGCACUGUUUCGGCUAGGGGGCCAUCCCGGCUUACCAACCCGAUGCAAACUGCGAAUACCGGAGAAUGUUAUCACGGGAGACACACGGCGGGUGCUAACGUCCGUCGUGAAGAGGGAAACAACCCAGACCGCCAGCUAAGGUCCCAAAGUCAUGGUUAAGUGGGAAACGAUGUGGGAAGGCCCAGACAGCCAGGAUGUUGGCUUAGAAGCAGCCAUCAUUUAAAGAAAGCGUAAUAGCUCACUGGUCGAGUCGGCCUGCGCGGAAGAUGUAACGGGGCUAAACCAUGCACCGAAGCUGCGGCAGCGACACUCAGGUGUUGUUGGGUAGGGGAGCGUUCUGUAAGCCUGUGAAGGUGGCCUGUGAGGGUUGCUGGAGGUAUCAGAAGUGCGAAUGCUGACAUAAGUAACGAUAAAGCGGGUGAAAAGCCCGCUCGCCGGAAGACCAAGGGUUCCUGUCCAACGUUAAUCGGGGCAGGGUGAGUCGACCCCUAAGGCGAGGCCGAAAGGCGUAGUCGAUGGGAAACGGGUUAAUAUUCCCGUACUUGGUGUUACUGCGAAGGGGGGGACGGAGAAGGCUAUGUUGGCCGGGCGACGGUUGUCCCGGUUUAAGCGUGUAGGUGUGUGUUCCAGGUAAAUCCGGUUCACUUUAACACUGAGGCGUGACGACGAGGCACUACGGUGCUGAAGCAACAAAUGCCCUGCUUCCAGGAAAAGCCUCUAAGCAUCAGGUAACAUCAAAUCGUACCCCAAACCGACACAGGUGGUCAGGUAGAGAAUACCAAGGCGCUUGAGAGAACUCGGGUGAAGGAACUAGGCAAAAUGGUGCCGUAACUUCGGGAGAAGGCACGCUGACACGUAGGUGAAGUGAUUUACUCAUGGAGCUGAAGUCAGUCGAAGAUACCAGCUGGCUGCAACUGUUUAUUAAAAACACAGCACUGUGCAAACACGAAAGUGGACGUAUACGGUGUGACGCCUGCCCGGUGCCGGAAGGUUAAUUGAUGGGGU